rnacentral:rRNA from 1 species
GAUGAACGCUGACAGAAUGCUUAACACAUGCAAGUCCACUUGAACUUCGGUUUGGGUGGCGGACGGGUGAGUAACGCGUAAAGAACUUGCCUCACAGCUAGGGACAACAUUUGGAAACGAAUGCUAAUACCGGAAAUUAGGAUUUUAGGGCAUCCUAGAAUAAUGAAAGCUAUAUGCGCUGUGAGAGAGCUUUGCGUCCCAUUAGCUAGUUGGAGAGGUAACGGCUCACCAAGGCGAUGAUGGGUAGCCGGCCUGAGAGGGUGAACAGCCACAAGGGGACUGAGACACGGCCCUUACUCCUACGGGAGGCAGCAGUGGGGAAUAUUGGACAAUGGACCAAGAGUCUGAUCCAGCAAUUCUGUGUGCACGAUGAAGUUUUUCGGAAUGUAAAGUGCUUUCAGUUGGGAAGAAAAAAAUGACGGUACCAACAGAAGAAGUGACGGCUAAAUACGUG